UGGGGAAUUUUGGACAAUGGGCGAAAGCCUGAUCCAGCAAUGCCGCGUGUGUGAAGAAGGCCUUCGGGUUGUAAAGCACUUUUGUCCGGAAAGAAAUCCUUGGCUCUAAUACAGUCGGGGGAUGACGGUACCGGAAGAAUAAGCACCGGCUAACUACGUGCCAGCAGCCGCGGUAAUACGUAGGGUGCAAGCGUUAAUCGGAAUUACUGGGCGUAAAGCGUGCGCAGGCGGUUUGCUAAGACCGAUGUGAAAUCCCCGGGCUCAACCUGGGAACUGCAUUGGUGACUGGCAGGCUAGAGUAUGGCAGAGGGGGGUAGAAUUCCACGUGUAGCAGUGAAAUGCGUAGAGAUGUGGAGGAAUACCGAUGGCGAAGGCAGCCCCCUGGGCCAAUACUGACGCUCAUGCACGAAAGCGUGGGGAGCAAACAGGAUUCAGAUACCCUGGUAGUCCACGCCCUAAACGAUGUCAACUAGUUGUUGGGGAUUCAUUUCCUUAGUAACGUAGCUAACGCGUGAAGUUGACCGCCUGGGGAGUACGGUCGCAAGAUUAAAACUCAAA
rnacentral:rRNA from 1 species